UACGGGGGGGGCAAGCGUUGUUCGGAAUUACUGGGCGUAAAGGGCUCGUAGGCGGCCAACUAAGUCAUACGUGAAAUCCCUCGGCUUAACCGGGGAACUGCGUCUGAUACUGGAUGGCUUGAGUUCGGGAGAGGGAUGCGGAAUUCCAGGUGUAGCGGUGAAAUGCGUAGAUAUCUGGAGGAACACCGGUGGCGAAGGCGGCAUCCUGGACCGAUACUGACGCUGAGGCGCGAAAGCUAGGGGAGCAAACAGG
rnacentral:rRNA from 1 species